rnacentral:lncRNA from 1 species
GUGAAAUUCAAUCCCUUCGUGACUUCUGAUGGAAGCAAGAAUCGCAAACAGUGUUUCAGUGCACCUCCUCCCAUUUGAAGGAAGAUCAUCUCUUCCCCUCUUUCCAAAGAGAUGAGACAUGUAUAAUGGUCUGUGGCCAUUCAAAAGGAUGACGAAGUUCAGGUUGCUCAAGGACACUGCAAAGGUCAGCAGAUGGCAAAGUGGCCCAAGUGUGCAGGAUGAAAUAGGUCAUGUACAUUGAACGAGUCCAUCCAGAGAAGACUAAUGGCACAGAUGUCCAUGUGGGCAUCCAUCACCAGGCUAAUGCGGGACAUGGACCGAAAGAAGAUCCUGGAGAGGAAAGCCAAGUCCUGACAAGUAAGAAAGGAGAAGGGCAAAUACAGGGAAGAAAUGAUGGAGAAGAUGCAGGAGUAG